GUGAAUGUAUGCUAUGGAUUACGAGUCGGCAACCCUGUGUGCACCCAGGGAGACCUGCAGAGGGAGAGGGACAGAGAGGAACGUAAACUAGACUCCUGCAAUGCACAACCAGUCUCAUAAUCCUGGAGCGGUUUUCCAACAGCGAAGAUCCCAGACCAGACUUCAGAAAACUGGAACUCUCCUGCAUCUUCCUGAACCUCUUUGACCAGGAUUGGUGACAUCAGCAUCCUCCUGCAAGUUCUGGAGGUUAUGCCAUCCUCCACAACAUCUGCCUCUGUGCUGACGACACCGAAACUCCAGAGGAUGAGCCAGAGGAAGAUGUGGAGGAGCCUGGUUUGGAGGCCACCAGCGGUGCUCUAGGUCAGGACCAACUACCCGCUGAGGUUUCUUCCCUGGAGGAUGUACCACCAGACCUUGAAUACUGGCAACAGGUAGUUCCAGCCCCG
rnacentral:lncRNA from 1 species